rnacentral:rRNA from 1 species
AACGAACGCUGGCGGCAUGCCUAACACAUGCAAGUCGAACGAGACCUUCGGGUCUAGUGGCGCACGGGUGCGUAACGCGUGGGAACCUGCCCUUAGGUUCGGAAUAACUCCCCGAAAGGGGUGCUAAUACCGGAUAAUGUCUUCGGACCAAAGAUUUAUCGCCUUUGGGUGGGCCCGCGUUGGAUUAGCUAGUUGGUAGGGUAAAAGCCUACCAAGGCGACGAUCCAUAGCUGGUCUGAGAGGAUGAUCAGCCACACUGGGACUGAGACACGGCCCAGACUCCUACGGGAGGCAGCAGUGGGGAAUAUUGGACAAUGGGCGAAAGCCUGAUCCAGCAAUGCCGCGUGAGUGAUGAAGGCCUUAGGGUUGUAAAGCUCUUUUACCCGGGAUGAUAAUGACAGUACCGGGAGAAUAAGCUCCGGCUAACCCCGUG